rnacentral:rRNA from 1 species
CACGUAGUUAGCCGGAGCUUUUUCUUCAGGUACCGUCAUUAUCGUCCCUGAUAAAAGGAGUUUACAAUCCGAAAACCUUCUUCCUCCACGCGGCAUCGCUGCAUCAGGGUUUCCCCCAUUGUGCAACAUUCCCCACUGCUGCCUCCCGUAGGAGUCUGGGCCGUGUCUCAGUCCCAAUGUGGCCGUUCAACCUCUCAGUCCGGCUACUGAUCGUCGACUUGGUGAGCCGUUACCUCACCAACUAUCUAAUCAGACGCGAGCCCAUCUCUGAGCGAAUUUCUUUGAUAACAAAAUCAUGCGAUUUCACUAUGUUAUGAGGUAUUACCAUCCGUUUCCAGAAGCUAUCCCUCUCUCAGAGGCAGGUUGCUCACGUGUUACUCACCCGUCCGCCACUAACUUGAGGAAGCAAGCUUCCUCUCGUCCGUUCGACUUGCAUGUGUUAGGCGUGCCGCCAGCGUGUCUCGUGUCACGAGUCAACUACU